rnacentral:rRNA from 1 species
UUGGAGGGCAAGUCUGGUGCCAGCAGCCGCGGUAAUUCCAGCUCCAAUAGCGUAUAUUAAAGUUGUUGCAGUUAAAAAGCUCGUAGUUGAAUUUCGGGGUUAGUAGGUUGGUCAUGCCUCUGGUAUGUACUGGUCUCACUGAUUCCUCCUUCCUGAUGAGCCGUAAUGCCAUUAAUUUGGUGUUGCGGGGAAUUUGGACUGUUACUUUGAAAAAAUUAGAGUGUUUAAAGCAAGCUAACGCUUGAAUACAUUAGCAUGGAAUAAUGAAAUAGGACGUUUGAUUCUAUUUUGUUGGUUUCUAGGAUCGACGUAAUGAUUAAUAGGGAUAGUUGGGGGCAUUAGUAUUCAAUUGUCAGAGGUGAAAUUCUUGGAUUUAUUGAAGACUAACUACUGCGAAAGCAUUUGCCAAGGAUGUUUUCAUUAAUCAAGAACGAAAGUUAGGGGAUCGAAGACGAUCAGAUACCGUCGUAGUCUUAACCAUAAACUAUGCCGACUAGGGAUCGGAUGAUGUUAAUUUUUUAAUGACUCAUUCGGCGCCUUACGGGAAAC